GAUGAACGCUGGCGGCGUGCCUAAUACAUGCAAGUCGAGCGAACAGACGAGGAGCUUGCUCCUCUGACGUUAGCGGCGGACGGGUGAGUAACACGUGGAUAACCUACCUAUAAGACUGGGAUAACUUCGGGAAACCGGAGCUAAUACCGGAUAAUAUAUUGAACCGCAUGGUUCAAUAGUGAAAGACGGUUUUGCUGUCACUUAUAGAUGGAUCCGCGCCGCAUUAGCUAGUUGGUAAGGUAACGGCUUACCAAGGCAACGAUGCGUAGCCGACCUGGGAGGGUGAUCGGCCACCCGGGAACGGAGACACGGACCAGACGCCUAAGGGAGGCAGCAGUAGGGAAUCUUCCGCAAUGGGCGAAAGCCUGACGGAGCAACGCCGCGUGAGUGAUGAAGGUCUUCGGAGCGUAAAACUCUGUUAUUAGGGAAGAACAAAUGUGUAAGUAACUAUGCACGUCUUGACGGUACCUAAUCAGAAAGCCACGGCUAACUACGUG
rnacentral:rRNA from 1 species